UGCCUUCGGGAACUCUGAGACAGGUGCUGCAUGGCUGUCGUCAGCUCGUGUUGUGAAAUGUUGGGUUAAGUCCCGCAACGAGCGCAACCCUUAUCCUUUGUUGCCAGCGGUUAGGCCGGGAACUCAAAGGAGACUGCCAGUGAUAAACUGGAGGAAGGUGGGGAUGACGUCAAGUCAUCAUGGCCCUUACGAGUAGGGCUACACACGUGCUACAAUGGCGCAUACAAAGAGAAGCGACCUCGCGAGAGCAAGCGGACCUCAUAAAGUGCGUCGUAGUCCGGAUUGGAGUCUGCAACUCGACUCCAUGAAGUCGGAAUCGCUAGUAAUCGUGGAUCAGAAUGCCACGGUGAAUACGUUCCCGGGCCUUGUACACACCGCCCGUCACACCAUGGGAGUGGGUUGCAAAAGAAGUAGGUAGCUUAACCUUCGGGAGGGCGCUUACCACUUUGUGAUUCAUGACUGGGGUGAAGUCGUAACAAGGUAAGCGUAGUGCU
rnacentral:rRNA from 1 species